rnacentral:rRNA from 1 species
UACAGAGGGUGCGAGCGUUAAUCGGAAUUACUGGGCGUAAAGGGCGCGUAGGCGGAUAGAUAAGUCAUAUGUGAAAGCCCCGGGCUUAACCUGGGAAUUGCCUAUGAUACUGUUUAUCUAGAGUAGGGUAGAGGGAAGUGGAAUUUCCGGUGUAGCGGUGAAAUGCGUAGAUAUCGGAAGGAACACCAGUGGCGAAGGCGGCUUCCUGGACUCAUACUGACGCUGAGGCGCGAGAGCGUGGGUAGCAAACAGGAUUAGAUACCCUGGUAGUCCACGCUGUAAACGAUGAGAACUAGCUGUUGGGGUGGUAAGACACCUGAGUAGCGAAGCUAACGCGAUAAGUUCUCCGCCUGGGGAGUACGGCCGCAAGGUUAAA